UACAAAGGGGGCUAGCGUUGCUCGGAAUCACUGGGCGUAAAGCGCACGUAGGCGGAUUGUUAAGUCAGGGGUGAAAUCCUGGAGCUCCACUCCAGAACUGCCUUUGAUACUGGCGAUCUCGAGUCCGGGAGAGGUGAGUGGAACUGCGAGUGUAGAGGUGAAAUUCGUAGAUAUUCGCAAGAACACCAGUGGCGAAGGCGGCUCACUGGCCCGGUACUGACGCUGAGGCACGAAAGCGUGGGGAGCAAACAGG
rnacentral:rRNA from 1 species